AAGAGGAAGAUUGACUGGGAGAGAAAUAGAACUUUGCAUGACCCAUGCUUGAUUUUCCCCCUGCUUAAGUUUUCACAGAGCCCAGCAUUACAUUUCAACCAUUUCUUAGUUGUACUUUGAAGAAUCCCUGUGAGUGGUUUCUGCAAAACGUUUGGAGGCUUAAUGGCAAAUUACUUUUACUUUGAACUCUAAUCACAGCACUGGAACUUCAGCAUUAAUAGAAGUGUUUUAUGGCUGGUAAUUAAGUUCUUUACUCUCAGUCUGUUUGGAACUUUUAGCAAUAUUAUUGGAACUGAGAUAGAGAAGGAGGUUUUUUUUAGCUUUUAGCAGUUUGACCACAGCAUGUAUGUGGAAGUUUGAAUAUUGUAGUUUUCUUUAAGCCCCUGUUUUUGGAACCUUCUGUGAUACUAUUAAAGUUGGGAUUUUAGUUGUUAACGGAAAGGGGAUUUCCCCCCAAAAUUUUUAGCUUUGGAUGCCUUCCUUUUAUUAAACAAUGGAUUAUGGAUUAUGGAGUUUGGAAAAGAAGGGAAAGAAAAGAUUUUCAUCAUUUUAGUAUGCCUUGGGGCUCCAGCAAUUUCUUAAUUUCCUGCUGUUUAUUAAUUGAAUGAACAUUUUCCACUACCACUGAUGGAGUAAAUAUUAUCCAGUACUGCAAAUACUUUACAGAGAUCCGACUUGAAGUUCAACAUUUGAAAUUAGAAUGAUUAAAAUAGAAAGCAUAGACCUUUUCUGCUUUUCACUGAAGUCUAAUAACAAAUUUUCCCAUGCGUAAGCUUUCCUGUGUAUGGAGUUAGAUCCGGUGAUGUUUUGACUCAGCUCUGCUUAUCGGCACUCCAUAGUUUUUAUUUAUUUAUUUAUUUAUCCCCCCACAAUCCGCCAGAGUAUUUUUAGGUUAACCCCAUGAUGGACUGCUGAAGAUUUUCAAUAGUAUCUACUUUAUUUCCUUUGGGAUUCUUUCUGUGUGGCUCUGAUGUUGGGAAGUAAAUGAUGCCUGGGAAUUAAAUUAAAUGGAUAAAAUACCCCUGAAGGGGCUACAGGUACUUUAAUUUAAUUUUUUUAUUUAAAAAUGUAAAAAAUAUAUAUUGUAGAACCCCCUGGACCAGACCGGGGGCGGGGGUUCGAUGGGGGCUGGACUGAAGUUGGCCGGUCUGGUUUGAGUCCAGUCCAGACUCAAACCAAACCAGGCCAGCUGGUUCCGUGCACACUCCUAGAAACUAUGUCUAGAUUCCUUCUUCUGUUGUUUAUACUAUGAAUCCAUAAUUAGAGAGAUAGAAGUAGCUGAACAGAACUUAUAGUUAUUUACUGGGGAUGUUUAGAGCAGAAACUUUCUUUUUGAAAUAGGUCAUUUAUCUUGGAUUUUUUCUGUCCAUCAGCUUAAUAAACAAUAUUAUUCCUAGAACUUGUACUCACUGCAUAAAUCAUUAGAUUGGAAUUUGCUGUUUAGGGAAGCUGGGACAGAAAGGAACAGAGGGUUUAAGACUACCUUACAAAAAUUUUCCUUUUUAAUUUAGCAUUGGGGAACGUUGUAAACAUUUAAAAUUCAUUUCUUUCUGUUAAACUUAGGAUUGUAGCAUCUGAGCAUUAUUCAAUAACUUUUAACUUUCUUUCUUCCAUUAUGUGGGCUUUAAAUCAGAAUAGAGGAUGGAGUUGGAAUGAGGAAAUUAAUAUCUGCUGUUUUGAGUGGAUCAGUAGGUGGUAGAUUUCGUGUGAAUAUUUAAUGAAGGUUUCAUUUAAAUGGGCUUAAAUAGUAUCUCUCUUUCAUUUGACUGCUGCUCUUUUACCUAUUUUUAUAAAUUUUUAAAAUCCUUUUCUUGUUUCCUGAUUCUUUUGUUCUCCCCUCUUGCUCUUCCUUUAUGGAUUGGAGAAGCUAAUCUUUAACACUUAAUGAUACCUUUUGGUCUUUUGUGAGCGAGAAGGAGGUGCUUGGUGCAGAACACUGUCGAUGUUUGUAUGAUUUAAUUUCUUUCUGUCAUGGCUGGACUGGUUCUCUUCUUCUCAAAUUACUUGAUGGUUGGACGUUCAGCUGGUCCAAGGGGAGUCUUUCUUGUGAGGUUCAAAACCCUUUACUGAAGGUUAGAUUUUAAAUUUUUAGAUUUACGAGAUCUGUUAUUCUAAUAUUUUUUUCUUUCACAUAUGUAACCAUUCUUAUUGUAUUUUUCCUAUGUAUGGGGAAUGAUGGAAAAGAGCUUGUACUUGUGAAUAAGUAUGGCUAUGUCUCAGAGAUAUAACAUUUUCUGUUUCUACAUUUUAAACUAAUAAAAGCAUUUAAAUGAUGAUGAUGAUGAUGAUGAUGAUGAUGAUGAUGAUGAUGAUGAUGUUCUUCAACCCAGAGAAAUAUGUUAGAAGGACAGAAAAUGUUACAUAAGCAAGGGGGAAAGGUUUCAGUGUUAUAUGAACAUAAUGUCCCCCAUAGUAGAGCGUAGGCAGACUUAUCUAUACAUGGUUUCUUAUAAUUUCCUAAAUCAGCUAAAUAUGAUUAUACUUGACCUAUGUCAAACUAGUUCUCAUGAUUGGUUUUAGCAAAUCAACAAGCAGCCCAAGGCUUUUAGCAAGGCAGUCAACCGGCUUCAAGGCUGGGAGAGUGAGAGAAAAUUCCUCUUCUCUCUCAAACCUCAAGAAUAACAUUUCUGUUCAUUGGCUUGGCUGAGAGAGAGAGAGAGAGAGAGAAAUCAAAGUCAUGUUUCAGCUUCCUGCCAGAAUCACAAUCUAGACACAGGCCUCAAUCUAGUAUUUUGGCUUUUGGGGGUUUCAGAGCAGGCCCUGGUUCUAAAAAGGCGUCCACCUGCCUGUUCAUAUCACUAGCUGGCUGGAAAUGACCUCCAAGGUCAUUUCUGGCCACCGUUUUGCUGAAAGGAGCAAUUUUGUGGCUCUUUAUAAAAAAGAUCCCCACAAUUUUUCAUGGAAAAUUGCUGAAAUUGUGGGUUUGUGGGUGGGUGGGGGGGCAUUGCUGGACAGCUGGAGACCUGCAGAGUAUGGUAUGGCACUUUAUUUUUCUUAUUUCUUCCAUUUUAGCUGUUUUUAGCUCUCCAGGAACCUAACCCCCCAAUUCCCAUUGUCUCAAGCUCUUGUUAUCUGCCAUUCUAUUAUCCUUGGUUGUAGCCGAGAAUGGAACCCCUGCGGAUAAUGAGGGUCACUUGUAUUCAGAACUAGGAAAUCACUGACUAGAAAUUGCCAGGAAUUGCCUCUCUCAACUCUGACUUCAGAACCCUCACUGGGCAAAAUCACUAGGUAGAUGGUUUUCAAACCAACAAAAGGCACUAGUUCAGCAUGGAGCUGAAUUUUGGGGGAAUUCUAAAAAGGCAAAAAACCCCAAACCCAUUAAAAUUAUCUGCAGUGCAAAAAGGUUGCCAACACUAAGACUCCUCUUUUUAGGAGUUAAAAAUUUAAAAUGCUGUAUUUUAGCCAGUGUUCAACCGUUUUGCACCAAAUUUGGAGGGGUAGUGUCCCUUGCCCCAUUGUUGAUGUGUGCUAGAUUUUAGGAAGAUUGGACAGAUACAUUUGAUUUUAUAAGCAAUAGAAUGUUCAGGGCUUAUAAUGGUGGAAUGUUGGAUAAACCUAUUUAUUUAUUUAUUUCUCAAAUUUAUACCCCGCCCAAACUUACAUCUCUGGGCAGCCUUCUCAUCUUAACUAUACUGGCACUACUGUGGCAUAUAGAUUUUAUCUCUACAUCAGUAAUUAUGGAUUCUUCAAGCACUGGGAGUUGCCAGAAGGAUUAUUAUACAUCACUGGAAUGAUAAAUUGGCUUCUGAUUUGCACCAGUGAAUAACUGAUAUAUAUUCCUUUUCAGCAUUCAAACUGUUUCCCCACUCCAUGGAAAGGUAAAGAAGAGGGUCCCUUAGCAAUUUGGAUACUGAAGAUAUACUACUCUAUUCAAGCACAGAAAACAGCAGGACAGAAUUAUGUCAAGCCUGUUGAUGUAUGGCACAGAAAAGAACACAAUCUCCUUUGCUCUGAAACACUGUGUGUAUUGUGGAAAAAGUCACAAAGAGAGCCAGCAACUGAAUUUGCUGAAUUAUUAAAUAAAAAGUAUAUAUGUUU